CACAAAAUCUUUUAAAAAUCUUUACAGUAACCAUGUGAUUUUGAGAUUUUGAGUUUGCAUGCUAUAAUGUACCAAAAACGUUAAAUUUUCAGCAUUGUUAGAUUUUAAUGGCAUUUGAACAUAACCCCAAAUAAUCUCUCUCUCAUCCUAACAUUUCCCGUAAUUCCAUUCAAACCCUAACCCUAACCCUAACCCUAAGUCUCCAAAAGUGACUUCAAAUUCCCUAAUUUAAAUUUACAAGGAUCACAAUCAAGCUCUAGAUCAAGAAAGAUUCAUAAUUUCUUCUUGAAUUUUGGAAAUUUUGAAAAAUUUCGAGCCCUAAUUGUAAUAUUCAUGAAAUGGCGAAAAUUUCUUUUUGCUCUUACUGCACUAAAUUAUUGCUGUUGAAAAUUUCAUCUUGCUUUUUGGAAAAUUUAUUUUGUUGGUAGUGCAAAAUUCAAAAAUUUGGUGACAUUUUUUACUGUUGAAAAUGUUCGAACCCUAACCCUAAUCGUGACCUUUUUUUGCAGUUGAAAAUGUGGAAAAUUGUUGCGCUGUUGUUAGUGCAAAUUUCACUUAUAAUGUACCCCUUUUUAUGGGUUUUGUUGCUUCCAUGUAAGGUGUAAUUGGGUAAUUGUUGAUGUUGGUAGUGCAAAUUUCACUUAAAAUUUCGAAAAUUGUUGCUUUGUUGGUAUUGCAAAUUUCAUCUUGAAUUAGCUCAAUUCUUGUUUGUUUUUUCAGAAUGUGUGACAAAGUCCUUUUAAGAUUUCAAUGUAGGGAACUUGCGAUAGACAUUCAUCUUGAUGAUAUUAAUAAGGUUAAUUUGUUGGACCUAGCUCUUGAUUGGGAGGAUGAAUGUAUGAAAUUGGGUCCUCCAAUGCCUGCAAACCCUUCAUUUUGGUAUUGUCACAGAAAAAGGCUUGGUAUUUAUAGAAUGACAAUGAUUUAGUUGGGAUGUUUCGUAAUUUACAUGGAAGCGAUCUUAUAUUCAUUUGGGUUGGUGAGUUAAGUGUUGAAGAUGACUUACUUAAAGCAGUUAGAAGUCUUAGAAUAACCAGGGACAAUGGGAAAGAAAAGGUUGUGGAAGAAGCAAGUGGCACACAAAAGGCACAACUUAAAAUUCCUUCAAUGCAUAAUUAACAUUUAGGUUUGCCAGUUUGAUGCUGCAAUGGUUGCAAAUCUCUUUUGGUUUGUUCUCAUUUUGGGUUAGUUUUGUGGUGUUUUUUCAUAGUUUACUCUAUUUCUUUGGUUGCACUUUCUUGUAACAUAUUGCCAAAUCAAUAUCGUUUUGGGUUGAUCUUUUAGCUUGAUCUUACUCCUUUGAUACUUGCAAAUGUUAUUUCUGAAGUGAGUAUUAGAGUUUCAUGGCUGAUAUUUGUAGAGUAAGUCUACAUUGAUGGCUUGAUGAUGAUAUAAUGAUGAUCAACAGACAUUACUUUAUGUAACAUGUGUUCUAUAGUUAAUGAUUCACGAAUGCAAAUUCUUUUAAAACUAUGCUUAUGAACAGAGGAAUCGGUAAUGUUUCGAAUGAUUGCUGGCAUGGAAAAGCUCAUUCUCAGUGAUUUUCAAGAUUUUAGAAAAGCAAAAAUCUAUUCCUAUUUGGCAGCUGAAGGAGUAGUUUUUACAAUUUCUUUAUAGUAUUCAAUUUAUUAUCUUGUUUGGUGAAACUUUAGGUUAGUAUUUGAUUAUGAUAUUUUGAUUUCAAAAUUCGACUGAAUUUGCGAUUCGUUAGAAUUUCUGGUUAUAUUGUUGCAUUUUUUUUAUAGUAGUUUACAUGAUUGUGAAUAAUGGAAUGUUUUGCACAUCUGAUUAAUUGGCAAAUUUUGCUAUAAAUGAUAUUUGCUUGGCAAAAUCUAUCAACAUAUGUUAACGAAUUUUAUUACCUGAAUUGUUAAAUGUCAAGGAAAAUAUGUCAACUUAUGCCUUUUUAUGUUUAUUAAAUGGAUUGCAGAAUCGUUGUUAAAAGCAUGUAAUUAUGCAGUCUUAUACAAUUCUACUUUUUAAAUUUAUGCUGGUGUUGCAUUCUUAUUCUGAUUCAAUUGCGUUUCAAUUGGUUGCUCACUAUCUGCACAGCACACAUUCUGUACACACUCUGAACCUCUUCUAUCAGUAGUUCUACUUGUCAACAAGUUCAUUGUUGCACGCUGUGUAACUUGAUAUGCUGAGAUUGGUAGAGCGUAAUUGUUGAUUGUGAUUUUGUUGUAGUGAUUUUCUUUGGAAAGUUCUCAAAUUGGGCAAAGUUAUCAAUAUGUUUUGUUUUUAAGUGUAACUUGAUACGCUGAGAUUGGUAUAGCGUAAUUGUUGAUUGUGUUCAAGCAAGGGAAUAAUGGAGAUUCAUGUUUAACUAUUGUGUUAUAUUUCUAUGUUUUCGACUGUUAGAGUAUAUAACAUAUCAUAGGGUCUCAAUUAUCAGCUUAAGCUUUUGGUUGAGUUGGUUCCUUGAUAUGCUAUAUACUCUAACACUGACCUUGAAUUCUGAUUUGUGCGACAACAAUUGUUGGAGAAGAAAAGGAUUGUUUCUACAUAGCAAUUGACUCGAUAAUUCAUUAUGUCUUCUCCCUUCAAAAAAAUUCAGUAUCAAUGUUAAUUUAUUUGGAAGGAUUGUUGCUCACUAUAUUGUUAUGUUUCUGACUUGAAUUUUUUUUUUCUGACCUUGAAUUCUUAUCUGAUUCUGUCAAGUGGUAUUUUUUUAUAACUGGCAGUUUCUACAAAAAGGAUAGUUUCUCACAAAAUCUUGCUUUAUAAAGUAGUUUUCCUUAAAAAUGCCUCUAAUAAAACAUUAAGAAAUCUUUAAAAAAAAAAGUUGUACACUGAAUUUGAGUUGAUGACUACUGUGGAUUGUCAUGACUCAUGACCAUGUUCUAUAAGUCCUGUGAAAUGACUUUCUCGUUGUCACUCAAGGUCUGCUGAAAUUUUAGGCUUGUUCAGAACAAAAGUCUGCUGAAUUCACUCACUUGGCCAAUAUACUCUGGCUACUUGCGGGUGAAUGUUGAUAUUGUAAUCUAGAAAAUCGGUUGAUCUAUUUACUAGAGCCUAACGGAUUUCAAUAAACAUUCAGGGCCUUGUUUCAUUGUUUUUUUUCUUUAUAUUUUGCUGAUUUUUAUAUUGGUAUGACAUUUGACACAUAUAAUUUUCGGAUUUCUCUUUCCAGUUCUGGGCAGAAAUACAUCUACACCGGAUCGAAUGAUGGCUGUGGGUAUAUAUAUGACUUGGGAAUUAUUCUAAUAACUGGGAGAGAUCUUCAUUCAGUACCCCUUAUCUCAGAAUAUAGCUUUUUUUGAUUGAUUGUAUAGAAUAUUUUCGCUCAAAAUACUUUAUUGUAUGUUUGUUUCACUGUAUAAGUAUCUAUGAUAUUUGCUUCUUCCCCGUGAA